rnacentral:lncRNA from 1 species
UCUUGUAUUCGUUUCACUCUACUCAAGGUCAAGUAGGAAACUAAGAUAGGUAACUUUCUGAUUUAAUGUUGGAUAUUUUUAUUGGAUUAUAGGUCAUCACUGAAUUGCCUCUAAAUAUUUCAUCCUUUUGAAGUUCCUUUUUUCCAGUGAGAAAUAUGAAAAUUUAGUGGAGGCCCUUGGUUGUUCAUCUCCUUUUUCCGUUAAAAACAUAUGCUAGCUAGCAAGCAGUCAUAGCAGGCAACAGAAAAUAUUUUUUGUCUUGAGGUUUUGAUCCUUUUGGAGAAUUUAUUAUUUGUGCCCUUAAUCAGACACUUCAUAUUUAUCAUUUUCUGGUUGUAGAUCUUACCUACUGAAAAAUCCUAACAUUAUCCUUUUGUGAGGAUCAAAAUUCACAUGGUCAAUUACUAUUCUCAAAGUUGCACAAGCCCCCUUAGGCUAAACAUGUUAUAAACUUCUAGGAUGUUAAACUGUUGAAAUUGGAGCAAAGAGAGAGUUUUAAGCAACUGCAAUGACAAUUAAGGUUAUGGCAUGGACCUUCUAAUUUAGUGUCCAUUCUCAUUGGUAAUAUAGUUAGCCUCUUUGAGUACAUUCAAGCUAUCUUGGAUUUUGCCUAGUUUGUUCCAUCAAACUAAUGGAUAGUGGAGCAUGCAAAGUUAGGGAUAGGAAGGACCUGUAAUUUCGAUAGUGUCUUGACUUUGCAGUUUGGUACCCUCAUGGAACCCUCUGGGAAAGAAAAAUGAUAAAGAGUAUUUUUGGUGUUUUUCUUUUGGAAAUGGAAAGAAAAAUUGCAGAUCUCUAGAUGAUAUUGGGCAUUUUAGUUCAGGUAAGGCCAGUGAUCUGGGUGGCUUCUAUGGGAAAAAGCUUCAAGUUGCUGCAAGUUAAGAAUGCAAUAGGGUGAGGGGAAGGCUGAAUGUUACAUGGGUAGAAUUCAUAAAAUAGAUCAAAAUCUCACAUGUUGAAUGGUGACUUGUCUUACUAUCAGGUGAAAUGGCUGGAUAGGAUACUUGUAAUUAAACCAAGAUUGUGAUUCAAAUGGUACUUGUAGGGCAAUGAAUUUAUGAUUUGAUCUUAGAGAAUUGAUAGUUAGGAAUGCCCAAGCAAACUAACAAAUUCAAAUGUAAUUGAGCUGUAUAAACUAGUGAGAAACAAUUGUAUAUUUGAGAUGAAAAACACCUACCAGCUUUAGAAGCUCUUGUGUGAAUCAAAGUUAGGGCAAGGGCUGAAGAUGAGAGAACGAUUGCACAUAGUAUUUCAAGGCGUUGGAUCAACCACUCAUUUGCUGUGAAACUGUAGAAGAAUGGACUUGCAUUUAUGUCAAUGAAGCCCAAAUUCUUUGAAAAGUGUCUAUCUUCGUCCCCGAAAGCUCUAAUUGUCAUAGCUCCAGCAAUGGACUCAGAAAGAUGGCUUGCAACAAAAGACUUGGUUGUGCCAUUGAUUCGCAUCAACUCUUUUCCAGCAGCAAAGUAGUACCUCUGGUUGUUAAAAUGAAAACAGACAUGAUCAAUUGCUAAGAAGCGAAGAGAAGCACAAAAUAUCUUACAAGCAAGACCCUAAAUGCUAAAUGAGGAGGGAAGCAGCUGCCUCUGCUACAUCCAUGUAAACAUCAUACAGUAGUGUAUUACCUGGAUGAGUAUACUUAGAUAAAUUGUUGGUAAAAUGACAAACACAAGUUCCCAGGCAAGAAUAGCCAACACUCCAAAACUGGCAUAAGCAUUCAUAGCUGCCCCAACAGCAAAAGUAAAUUUGAAGGCCACAUCAAGGUCAACCACACUCAAAUCAGAAGAUACCUGCAAAAAGGCAAUAAAAAAAUAAGUCUUCUGUUCUUUGCAAUAGGCAUUUAUUUUAAGCAUCUUACCCGACUGAGUAUCCUUCCCAGAGGUGUUGAGUCAUAAAAGGACAUUGGUGCUCGAAAAAGAGAGCUCAGCAGUGUAGAGAAAAUAGAUUGUGAUGCCUCAAGGCCUAAAAGAACAACAAAAAAAGACCGGAGCAACAAAAAGAGUGAUAAGCUUAAUCCGAUCCCUGUGUAAACUGCAAUCAGUUUCAAUUGGCUAACACUAGAAUUCUGGACAUUUGCAGCCAACCAAUAGUUUUGCACCAACUGUCCAACAAUGAAUAUGACAUGAGAUAGAGUUGCCAAAAAGAAGUACAAGAAUCCCUUGCUGUAUUUCAAGUAUUGUAGGUAAGGCUUGAGACCAGUGUCUCCAAUUUCUCUUUCUUCUUUCUUAAUUAACUGCUCUCCUGAUGUGUCUCUCAAUUGUUUCUCGGUGUAAAUCUUCUGUAUCUCUCCCUUUGGAAUUUUAGAUUUCUGGGUAGAAUCUUGCUCAGGUUGCCUCUCAGAACCAACUGUGGCAUUGUGUGCAUUAACAAGGUCCUGGAACUCUUGACUAAAGCGCAUCAGUUGCUCAAAGGUAGCAGCUUGCAGGAUCUCCCCUUCGGACAUUAACUGCCAACAGAAUUAGUCAUUUGGACUGCUUGAUUUAAAAGCAUGUGUUACUCAAGGAUUGCCUUCCAGAUGGUGGAAAUUACUUGUUAAGAAAGGAAAAGAAGUCAAAUGAGAGUUAAAGAAGGACAUCCAAGAAAGUAACUGUACUAACCAGAACCGAAUCAAAUGCUGGAAGGAAGUCCACUUGGUGGGUCACAAGUAUGACCGUCUUCGUUGAUAGAGCUCCCAUGACAUAUUCCUGGCCACAACUGGCAUUAGCAUUCACUCUGAAAGCAAUAACAUUAGUAGCAUAAUUUCUAAAAAAGGAGAACCGUACAUACAUUAAAUAGACUGGUUGCAGUAUGUGCAUCGACCGCACUAAAUGGAUCAUCCAGGAGAUAUACAUCUGCAUCCUGAUAUAAUGCGCGUGCGAGUUGAACCCUCUGCUUCUGUCCACCACUCAGAUUAACACCUCUUUCUCCUAUUUCAGUGAGAUCACCAAAUGGAAGCAUCUCAAGGUCCUUCACUAGGGCACACUUCUCAAUAACCUCUCUGUAUCUGUAAGGAUCCAUAGCAGACCCAAACAGAAUAUUUUCUUGUAUGGUACCUGUUGGAAUCCAUGCUGUCUGAGAGACGUAAGCAAUCUUUCCAUAAACUCGAACCUGGAAAAGAUGGAUCCAGAAUCCGUAUUAAGACAUUUGUCUACGUAAGACUCCUAGAACCUUUCGGGGCUCAUGAAGUUUUCUACCUUCCCCUUUUCCCCCCAUGAUGUUAAUAUCUACCAAAUGAAGUGUGUAUAAAUCAGGAAUGAUGCAUUACUUCUUUCACUUUUUAAGUUUGUUUUCUUUUGUAUUCCUAGUUAGGAAACCCUGAAAGAACAUAAAAAUUCCCUGUGGGUUUGUUGUUAUUCCUCUCAGUACAACUGUGCAUAAAGUAGUUGUUGAGUAUUUAUUCUAGUCCAUGGAUGAGGAAGAAAUGGAAUUGAAAGGGGUACUUACUAUGCCAUUAACGUGUGGAACUUCUCCAAGAACAGCAGCUAAUAGUGUCGAUUUACCUGAGCCAACCUCUCCACAAAUUGCUACCUUUUCCCCAGGCUUAACCACCAAAGUUAUGUUCCUUAGCGUAGCCCUUGUAGUGUUAUCCUCCCAUGAAAUUCUGUUGCUCUUGAUAAAAAUGGAUUCCUCCAGCUCCUUCCCAUCACACAUCUUCCUUACAUGUUUGUUCUGCAGCUCUGGUGCAUCAAGAAACUUUGCAAUCCGAUCUAACGAAACCUUGGCCUCAAUGAAUGCUGAAAUGACAUCAGGGAUUAACCUUAUUGGCUCCUGGGCAAGGCGUAAACUUGCCAUAAAUGUGAAAACAUUGGUAGCAGAGAGAGUAGUUCCAAGAAAGUAGCAUGCCCAGAAAGUAACCGCCGAUACUACAAUGGGAGAGGACCAAAACAGAAUCAGAUUGUACCCUCUCUGUGACAGAACUGAUGAUAACCACUUGAAUUCCUCUUUCCUCAACCCUUCUAUGACAUUCUUGAAAUGAGUCUCCCAAGCAUACAGCUUCAGAAUUUUCAUGUUUGUAAGUGCCUCUGUGAAAGUCUUCAGCCUCUUGUCCUGAGUUCCCAUGAGCAUUUUCUGGUACUUGUGUUGUAACUUUCCCAUAGGAGAGUUUGUAACUACAGUCAAUAUUACUACAGACAGAGCUGCUAUAGUUGCAAGCCCCACCGAGUAGUAAAUAAUAAGCAAUGCCAGACACAACUGGAGGCUUGUUGACCAUAUCUGGUGAAACCAGUACGGGUAUUCACCUAUUUUGUAAGCAUCAAUGGUAACAAAGUUAAUGAUCUGACCAGGGGAAUACGACCCCUUUGCAGCAUUUGAGAGCUUAAGCUGCUUCUGAUAGAUGGCUGCAGAUAGAAAUGAUCUCACUUGGAGCCCAAUCAAUCUAGUUCGAAAGAACCAUUGCCUCUCUGAUAACGAUUCUAAGCAUUUAGUAAGGAAGAGCCCUCCUGUCAGUGCAUAACCUUCAUACUCAAAAGCUUCUUUGCCUUCAGCAACCAGGAUGAAGGCUCUAAGAAACAGAGGGCCAGUAGAAAGUGUCAGUACCUUGAUCAAUGCAUAAAAGCCAGAAAACAAAAUUUGUUUCCACUGCCACAACAAUAUAGUUGACAAAAUGGAAGGAGAGUGAGAUGACCGCUUGUUUUUCUGCUUGUUCUGCUGUUCCAUGAACAUUGAGUAACACAUUUCCGCUCGAUCUUCCCUUCUUAGCUGUGGAAUGUCUUUGUCCUCAAGUGUUUUCUCCUUACCCUUCUUGAUCAACGAAUUCAACCACCAAAAUGACAGUCUACUAAUAAGCCCGGCUUUCUGAAAAGGAGGUAAGCUGGCAUCUGAAUUGAUUUUAUCACCACCACUGCCUCCUUCACCAGGCAACGGUGUAUAGAAGCCAGCACCAUCAAUUUCUGAAUCAGUUCCUGCAUAUUUCGGUCCUGAAAAAGUGGAGAACAUCGAUAGAAUUGCUCCAGGAAAAGAUAUAACAUCUAAAAUCAUCUUGACUGAUACUGCAUCGCUCACAAUAGCUUCCCAGAAAGAUGUAACACAGAGAAAACCUGCAAUAAAGAAUGCAAGUACUGAACAGAGCUUCAGCCCUGCAAUAUGUAGAACUUGAUGCCUCCUAAACCUCACAGCUAAACCCAGAAAAAACCAGGCGAAGCCUUGUAAUAAAUUCACUAGCCAGCCAUGCAGAGGUAGAAUGGUGUUCUCUUCAAUCAGCUUCUCUCCCAAAAUCCAGAUCCCCAAACCCAGAUAAACAAACCCCAAACUACCAUUAAGAAAGGCUGCAGAAUUUAGCGUUGUGGAAAAGCAUAGAGACCGUUGAGGGGAUAAUAUCUUCAAAGCUGAUGCUUUAUAUAUGAAGAUAAAUAAUAAUAAGAACAAGAGGAUGAUGUCUACAGAAAUGACCAAAAUAUGAUUGAGACAUGAACAUGGACAGAUGAUGGCUAGGAACCCAGAACUGCUUAUCUUUCCAAUUUUACUUGAACACCCGGUACUUCCACAGAAAACAGUCCAGAGACUCUCACCCAUGUUGUAUCUUCUUGCCUGCACAAAACUGUGGCUGUAAUAAAAUAAAAAAAAUAAAAAAAAGAAACAAAAAGCAAAGGGUUAUUUAUUAGAUUUUUGGCGUUUUAGAGUUGGAAGUAGUACUAAACAUGAGAACCAUCAAUGCGUGCCUAAUAGUUUCAGUUCUCAGUGGAACUUAAAAGUUAAAUUUAUCAUACAGGACUGAUCUGAACUUAAUUCACAACCCCAGGUGCCUAAGAUCAGGAGAAAGAAUCCAAGAACAACUGAACUGAGAUUGAAGAGAACUGACCAUAGACAGAGAACAUGAGAAAUUGCAGAAAACAGAUAGGGAGAAUGGGAUCCAAUGGAAAUGAAUCAAACAUGAAAGCAGAAGAUGUGAACAAGAUUCAGGAAACGUAUGCAAAACCCCCCAUUUCUCUGUUUCGUUGUUGAGAAAGAUACUGGAAAAUAAAUGUAAACCUUGAAUCUCAUAACAAGUAAGGGAUGGAGUGGUAGCCUUAAGAUUGCAAAACUUCUUUUCUUAUACCAUGAGUCUCAGUAACCAAACACAACCCACUGAGAUUCCUUGACCAAGCACAGUCUAGGCCUAUUUUCUCAAGCUGAAAGGAUGAGCACAAAAAAACAGGAACAAGAAGAUGAGGCAGUUACCUUAGGAUACGUUGGACAAUGAUGUAAAACCAAACCACAUCUUUUUAUUUAAGCUUUCUGGAAAGGGGACAGGAAUAAUUAUAUAGUAGAAAAGCUUGCAGAAAUAAAUAGAAUCGAAUGGAAAGAAAUUGUUCCUUUUCUUUCGGUCCUAGCUUACACUUUUCCAGGUUCCCAUAAUAAUAGCUAAAGGACCCCUUGAUAGGAUCAAUUCAAGAAAAAGAUGGGAAAAAAAGAAAAGAAGAAAAACAGAGCCCAGAAGAGGAAAAUAGUAGAAAAUUAAUGCUCACAAUGCACUGAGUCAGCCCAACAGAAAAAGAAGUUUUAUAUGAAGGACCCAAGAAUUCAAAGCAAUUAAUGAGGAAACAAACAGAAUGAUGGAGCAACUUCAGAGAGUGAAAACCAUCUUGAACCAAUUAUAGAAUGCACAGAACAUGGGGGUGGUCAAAAU